CAGAAAAGAAAUAAAUUUUUCGGUGAAUAGUACCCCGUGAAUAGUACUUCGGGAAUAGUACCCUAUGAAUACUAACCCGACAUGAAAAGUGCCCCAAAUACCCGAAUAAGCAAUAUUUGAGUGAAUAGUAAUCGGGUGAAUAGUAACUCAUGAAUAGUACCCCCGACAUGAAAAGUGCCCCGAAUACCCGAGUGAAUAAUAUUAUAGUGA
rnacentral:lncRNA from 1 species